rnacentral:rRNA from 1 species
AAAAACAUUUCUUAUAAAAUAAUUUUAAGUAAAAUCUGCUCAAUGAACAAAUAAAUAGCCGCAGAAUUUUUACUGUGCUAAGGUAGCAUAAUCAUUUACCUUUUAAUUAAAGGCCUGUAUGAAAGAUUUAACAUUUAAAUUACUUUCUUAUUUAAAUAUUUUAAAUUUUAAUUAAAUAUCAAAAUGUAUUUAUUUUUAAAAAAGACGAUAAGACCCUAUUGAACUUUACUAUUGUUAAGCUGGGGUAGCUAAUUAAAUAUAAUUUUAAUUUUUGAUUUUAUAAUAAAUUUUCUAAUAAAAUUAAAUAUAAAAGUUACCAUAGGGAUAACAGCGUUAUAUUAUUUUAAAGAUCAUAUUAAAAAUAUUGUUUACGACCUUCAUGUUGAAUU